UGCAAGUCGAACGCGCAGCGAAAGGUGCUUGCACCUUUCAAGCGAGUGGCGAACGGGUGAGUAACACGUGGAUAACCUGCCUCAAGGCUGGGGAUAACAUUUGGAAACAGAUGCUAAUACCGAAUAAAACUUAGUAUCGCAUGAUACAAAGUUGAAAGGCGCUACGGCGUCACCUAGAGAUGGGUCCGCGGUGCAUUAGUUAGUUGGUGGGGUAAAGGCCUACCAAGACAAUGAUGCAUAGCCGAGUUGAGAGACUGAUCGGCCACAUUGGAACUGAGACACGGUCCAAACUCCUACGGGAGGCUGCAGUANGGAAUCUUCCACAAUGGGCGAAAGCCUGAUGGAGCAACGCCGCGUGUGUGAUGAAGGCUUUAGGGUCGUAAAGCACUGUUGUAUGGGAAGAAAUGCUAGAAUAGGGAAUGAUUCUAGUUCGACGGUUCCAUACCANAAAGGGACGGCUAAAUAC
rnacentral:rRNA from 1 species